ensembl:lncRNA
GGGGGAAGCGCUGCCGCCGCCGGUGCGAGGAGCGAAGUAGAGGCAGGAACUUCUCCUCCGGGAGCUGGGCGCGCCGCGGGGACAAAGUCCUCGGGGGCUGCGGCGCUCCGCACCCGCGGGCAGAUUGCCAACGCUAAGAAAACAGAGACUUCCAGCAAAAAAUUCUUCAGUUCAUGGAGCAACAAGGGCAGUGUUAGGAAUACAUCCCACCCUUGUGCUUCUGCUCCAGGAUGCAGUGAGAAGAAAGGCAUGCAGAGAGCAAAUAAUUAUGCAAGGCAGGGAGAGCCCAUGCGUCUGAAUGUGUGUCCGGCAGCAGAGCCAGAGAGUCCAUGGAGCAGCGAGGCUGAAACCAGCACCCUGAGGGAGGGCUUUUGGCAUGCUAAAAAUCAAGAUCCACUUUUAAUUGCUGGAAGGACCCCAUCUCAAGUUCAGUUCUGACUCCUAGACCCGCUGUCCUCUUCAGGAAGUCCCA